rnacentral:rRNA from 1 species
GUGGGGAAUUUUGCGCAAUGGGGGAAACCCUGACGCAGCAACGCCGCGUGGAGGAUGAAAUCCCCUGGGAUGUAAACUCCUUUCGAUCGGGAAGAUAAUGACGGUACCGAGAGAAGAAGCCCCGGCUAACUUCGUGCCAGCAGCCGCGGUAAUACGAGGGGGGCAAGCGUUGUUCGGAAUUAUUGGGCGUAAAGGGUGCGUAGGCGGUUUGAUAAGUCUGAUGUGAAAUCUAUGGGCUCAACCCAUAGCCUGCAUCGGAGACUGUUGGGCUUGAGUAUGGGAGAGGUGAGUGGAAUUUCCGGUGUAGCGGUGAAAUGCGUAGAUAUCGGAAGGAACACCUGUGGCGAAAGCGGCUCACUGGACCAUUACUGACGCUGAUGCACGAAAGCUAGGGGAGCAAACAGG